GGAGGCUGUGGCUCAGUGGAAGAGCCUCUGUUUUGCAUACAGAAGGUCCUGGGUUCAAUCCUCAGCAUCUCCU